rnacentral:lncRNA from 1 species
CAUCAUCAUUAUCACCAUCAUUAUUAUAAUUAACAGCAAGACUAGUUUGUCUGGGUUGGAGAGUGCCAAAAGGGGAGUCAUGUAAUUAGCUUGAAAAGAUGAAUAGACCUCCCCUCCCAGUGGAGUUGGGAAUGCAUAACUAAACUAGCCAUAGUGGACCUUGAGACUAAAGAAAUGAAGAUGAGGAAUCCGAGGUCUAGAGGCUUUAAGCGACUUGCUGAGGGUCACAUCCAACUAGGAAGUAUAUGAGGGAUCUUCAUGUGGAACCAUGGAUUUAGGUCCCUUUCCCUACCAGUACUCUCAAAUGAAGAUCAAGUCUAAAGGCGAGGGGCACCCUGAACCGUGCACUGGAUCCGCUCUAAGCCUGUUGUUCAGGCAUGUCUGACUCUUCUUGACCCCAUGGACAAGAUUCUUCUAUUUUCCACUCUCUCUUCAAGUCAGGAAAUUGAGACCAAGAGGGAAAGAAGUGACUUCUUAGGUCACCCAAGUCAGGGUUUUGAAAGUAGGUUUGAAACUUAUAAUAACUUCCCAUUUCAUUUGAACCUACAUUAGCUUUCUCUCUUUUAAUUAUUU